UACGUAGGGUGCAAGCGUUGUCCGGAAUUAUUGGGCGUAAAGAGCUCGUAGGCGGUCUGUCGCGUCUGCUGUGAAAACUCAGGGCUUAACCCUGAGCUUGCAGUGGGUACGGGCAGACUAGAGUGCGGUAGGGGGAGACUGGAAUUCCUGGUGUAGCGGUGAAAUGCGCAGAUAUCAGGAGGAACACCGGUGGCGAAGGCGACUACCUGGCCUGUUCUUGACGCUGAGGCGCGAAAGCGUGGGGAGCGAACAGG
rnacentral:rRNA from 1 species